GUGGCCUGAACGCAUCUCAUCACCGUCCAAUGAUUAAAUUCCUCUCCAGUCAGCGUGAAAUGGAAGGCCACCACCAGCACGCUGCACGAAGAAGCUGCCAGCAGAUUGUUCAGACCCAGGAAUACCAACAGCUGGCCAGCAAAUACGGUUCCCGAGGUACCAGUGGCGAGGCUCGCGUCAUCUAUAGAGCUGAGCCUGAGAAUUCUUCUCCCAAGGAUCAUGCACCCUAUCAUUCCCGACAGUCCACCCACAAGCACGUGUUUCUUCAUCCAUCCGUGAGGGGUCCAAGCCCAAUGUACGAGGAAAGGCUGCGUCAAUCCGGCCAAUAGGAGGCCCGUGGCAAGAUAGCCGAUCGUGUGCGUUCUUCCCACGAUGCCGCAAGUGCAAAUGGCUGCCGCGACGACAGCCGCCGCCCAACCAAUCAAGGCCUCGUCUUUGUCGGCCGUUGGGUCGCCAAUCCACAAUCCGUCGCCCACGAUUCCGUUCGAGCCGCCGUUGUAGGCAAUCAGGAUCAGAUUGAUGUUGUUCACUGGCACGCUGCCAACGUGGAUCAGAACGUAGCCGAUUCGCAACAGAAUCACGAGAAUCACGCGAGUGAAGCCUGGUGUUGGUUCAGGUAUAAUCCCGGACGCAUUGUAAUGAUGUGCCGCCAGCGAAGUGUCGUCGUUGUACAAAAAGUGCGCCCUAAGAUGACUCAAACGUCGAAUACAAUCGCGCUCUGGACCCCGCCGGCUCUGAUUGGCCGGCGCAGCGGAAGCCAAUGGUGGCCGGAGACGCCGUUGUCCGCGCAUGCCUCCACGAGUCGAUGCAAGGUCUGGGUCUCGCCUCUGCAGGGACAAGCCGGCAAGCGAUGCCGUCCGUCGACGACGUUGGUAGUCGCUCGCAGACGGCCACUGGACCUCCGGGUGUUAGGUGGCAGUGGCUCGCGAGAAAGAGAGAAAGAAGCGAGCGAAAGGAAUAGAGAGAGAGAGAGAGAGAAGGAGCAAAAAAGAAAGUUGAAAUAAUCUACCUUCAGUGUUUGUUCGUCCUGGCUCCCCGUUCCCGACGGCGGAGAUAGAAGCUGCAAGAGGAUGGCCGCGGUGUCCUGUCGCGCACUAUGCAUCGUACGAUGGUCCGAGGUCUCCCGCAUGCUGAGCGUGUCCUCCACCCUGGCCACGACAAAAAGCUUCCACCGGAAUUGCAUAGGAUCAAUGUCUCAACGGACAGCGUUGCAUAGGAAACAUGGAAAUUAGAUAAACGUGUUUGAUAUCGGGAUUAAUUGGAAGGAUGGCCCAGAUGACAAAUACAUAGAUAGCGACGUCAGAAGACUCACACGUGUAUACAGUGCGAGUCCUUCACCUGUGCUUGUGUCGAGCUCGAACAGCUGAGUUUGGCUCUGCGUACAAAAACGUCGCGCUGGAAUUUAUGUACACAAACCAAGUUAUUCGGCAGUCGUAUUUACCAUAGGAACAGUUUGAUACCAAGGGAGACAUUAGCCGAGAGGAACGAAGCACGGAUUCAAGAUACAAGAAAGUUUUUCCACGUGGGGUUAAAACUGGAUCGAGGAACGUGGUAGUCGAAUUUUCUGACACUGGAAUUUUCUGAACUGUGGAACUCGUAGUUUCCAAAGUUUUGGAGUUAUCUGCCGAGAGCAGCAAUUCUUUUCUCAAUAUUUUUGCAGGUUUCAUCGUUCUUCCAGUUCGCGAUAAAAUGAUGACACACUUUAAAAUUGAGUGAUUUAUAUUUCUUUGACAUCCAUCAAAAUUUCGUUUUUCUGUUAAUAUACAGAAGCUCCCGUAUUACAUGCAGAAACACCUUUAUAACAUGCACGAAUGAAAUGAAUUUUUAAUUCAGUGUGCGCUUUCAUUUGGUCGCACUUUAUUUCCAUAAAAAUUCUCUUGUAAAAAAUAAAACAAAUAAAACUGUUGGGUCUUGUGAUAUUCACUCGUAGAUACUGUGUUAAUAAUAGACAAUAAUAGAACAAUAAUAAUAGAACAAUAAUAGAACAAA